AUACGUAGGGUGCAAGCGUUAAUCGGAAUUACUGGGCGUAAAGCGUGCGCAGGCGGUUUUGUAAGACAGAGGUGAAAUCCCCGGGCUCAACCUUGGAACUGCCUUUGUGACUGCAAGGCUAGAGUACGGCAGAGGGGGAUGGAAUUCCGCGUGUAGCAGUGAAAUGCGUAGAUAUGCGGAGGAACACCGAUGGCGAAGGCAAUCCCCUGGGCCUGUACUGACGCUCAUGCACGAAAGCGUAGGGAGCAAACAGGAUUAGAUACCCUGGCAGUCCACGCCCUAAACGAUGUCAACUGGUUGUUGGGUCUUCAUGGACUCAGUAACGAAGCUAACGCGUGAAGUUGACCGCCUGGGGAGUACGGCCGCAAGGUUGAAACUCAAAUGAAUUGACGGGG
rnacentral:rRNA from 1 species